AACAAGGCGUACCUGCGGACCUGCGGAAGGAUCAUUACCGAGUACCGGGUCUUCGGGCCCUGCUCCCACCCCAUGUGUACCUACCUCUUUUUCGUUGCCUCGGCGGGGUUGAUCCUGCGCGGCCCCUGUGGCCGCGUGGGGGACCCGCCGGGGAGACACACUAAACUCUAAUUUAACGUCGAGUCUGAGAAAACACAAAUAAGUCAAAACUUUCAACAACGGAUCUCAGAUCGGAAGAGC
rnacentral:misc_RNA from 1 species